GUAGUUGCUUCGGAAACACGUAUACUAAAAUUGGAACGAUACAGAGAAGAUUAGCAUGGUCUCCUGUGCAAGGAUGACACGCAAAAUCGGGAAGCGUUACGCAUUUUU